GUUUCUAUAGCUCAACGGUAGAGCAUAGUACUGUUAAUACUAUGAUAGAUGUUCGAUUCAU
rnacentral:tRNA from 1 species